GAUGAACGCUGGCGGCGUGCCUAAUACAUGCAAGUCGAGCGAACAGAUGAGAAGCUUGCUUCUCUGAUGUUAGCGGCGGACGGGUGAGUAACACGUGGGUAACCUACCUAUAAGACUGGGAUAACUCCGGGAAACCGGGGCUAAUACCGGAUAAUAUUUUGAACCGCAUGGUUCAAUAGUGAAAGACGGUUUCGGCUGUCGUUUCUAGUUGGACCCGCGCCGUAUUAGCUAGUUGGUAAGGUAACGGCUUACCAAGGCGACGAUACGUAACCGACCUGAGAGGGUGAUCGGCCACACUGGAACUGAGACACGGUCCAGACUCCUACGGGAGGCAGCAGUAGGGAAUCUUCCGCAAUGGGCGAAAGCCUGACGGAGCAACGCCGCGUGAGUGAUGAAGGUCUUCGGAUUGUAAAACUCUGUUGUUAGGGAAGAACAAAUUUGUUAGUAACUGAACAAGUCUUGACGGUACCUAACCAGAAAGCCACGGCUAACUACGUGCCAGCAGCCGCGGUAACAC
rnacentral:rRNA from 1 species